rnacentral:rRNA from 1 species
AGAGUUGAUCCUGGCUCAGAACGAACGCUGGCGGCGCGUCUUAAGCAUGCAAGUCGGACGGCAAGGGUUGUGCUUGCACAACUCCUAGAGUGGCGGACUGGUGAGUAACGCGUGGGUGACCUGCCCUCGAGAUGGGGAUAGCCAUUAGAAAUAGUGGAUAAUACCGAAUACGCUCAUGACCCUGUGGGGAUAUGAGGAAAACAGGCUACGGCCUGGCUCGAGGAUGGGCCCGCGUCCCAUUAGCUAGUUGGUGAGGUAACGGCCCACCAAGGCGACGAUGGGUAUCCGGCCUGAGAGGGUGUACGGACACAUUGGGACUGAGAUACGGCCCAAACUCCUACGGGAGGCAGCAGCUAAGAAUAUUCCGCAAUGGACGAAAGUCUGACGGAGCGACGCCGCGUGGAUGAAGAAGGCCGGAAGGUUGUAAAAUCCUUUUGAAACUGAAGAAUAAGCGUUGUAGGGAAUGACAGCGUGGUGACAGUAGGUUUUGAAUAAGCAACGGCUAAUUACGUGCCAGCAGCCGC